rnacentral:rRNA from 1 species
AACCUCCGCAAUGUGAGAAAUCGCGACGGGGGGAUCCCAAGUGCCAUUCUUAACGGGAUGGCUUUUCUUAAGUGUAAAAAGCUUUUGGAAUAAGAGCUGGGCAAGACCGGUGCCAGCCGCCGCGGUAACACCGGCAGCUCUAGUGGUAGCUGUUUUUAUUGGGCCUAAAGCGUUCGUAGCCGGUUUGAUAAGUCACUGGUGAAAUCCUGUAGCUUAACUGUGGGAAUUGCUGGUGAUACUGUUGAACUUGAGGUCGGGAGAGGUUAGCGGUACUCCCAGGGUAGAGGUGAAAUUCUGUAAUCCUGGGAGGACCACCUGUGGCGAAGGCGGCUAACUGGAACGAACCUGACGGUGAGGGACGAAAGCUAGGGGCGCGAACCGGAUUAGAUACCCGGGUAGUCCUAGCCGUAAACGAUGCGGACUUGGUGUUGGGAUGGCUUUGAGCCGCUCCGGUGCCGAAGGGAAGCUGUUAAGUCCGCCGCCUGGGAAGUACGGUCGCAAGACUGAAACUUAAGGAAUU